UGGGGUGACUGCGUACCUUUUGUAUAAUGGGUCAGCGACUUAUAUUCUGUAGCAAGGUUAACCGAAUAGGGGAGCCGGAGGGAAACCGAGUCUUAAUUGGGCGUUAAGUUGCAGGGUAUAGACCCGAAACCCGGUGAUCUAGCCAUGGGCAGGUUGAAGGUUGGGUAACACUAACUGGAGGACCGAACCGACUAAUGUUGAAAAAUUAGCGGAUGACCUGUGGCUGGGGGUGAAAGGCCAAUCAAACCGGGAGAUAGCUGGUUCUCCCCGAAAGCUAUUUAGGUAGCGCCUCGUGAAUUCAUCUCCGGGGGUAGAGCACUGUUUCGGCUAGGGGGCCAUCCCGGCUUACCAACCCGAUGCAAACUGCGAAUACCGGAGAAUGUUAUCACGGGAGACACACGGCGGGUGCUAACGUCCGUCGUGAAGAGGGAAACAACCCAGACCGCCAGCUAAGGUCCCAAAGUCAUGGUUAAGUGGGAAACGAUGUGGGAAGGCCCAGACAGCCAGGAUGUUGGCUUAGAAGCAGCCAUCAUUUAAAGAAAGCGUAAUAGCUCACUGGUCGAGUCGGCCUGCGCGGAAGAUGUAACGGGGCUAAACCAUGCACCGAAGCUGCGGCAGCGAACGUAUCACCCAAGACAACUUUACGGAGUUGACGAUUGACGGAGCGAAGCGACGUCAAAGCGUUCAUUAAAGUCGAGUUGGCUUAGGGAUACGUUCGUUGGGUAGGGGAGCGUUCUGUAAGCCUGUGAAGGUGUGUCGUGAGGCAUGCUGGAGGUAUCAGAAGUGCGAAUGCUGACAUAAGUAACGAUAAAGCGGGUGAAAAGCCCGCUCGCCGGAAGACCAAGGGUUCCUGUCCAACGUUAAUCGGGGCAGGGUGAGUCGACCCCUAAGGCGAGGCCGAAAGGCGUAGUCGAUGGGAAACGGGUUAAUAUUCCCGUACUUGGUGUUACUGCGAAGGGGGGACGGAGAAGGCUAUGUUGGCCGGGCGACGGUUGUCCCGGUUUAAGCGUGUAGGUGUGUGUUCCAGGUAAAUCCGGUUCACUUUAACACUGAGGCGUGACGACGAGGCACUACGGUGCUGAAGCAACAAAUGCCCUGCUUCCAGGAAAAGCCUCUAAGCAUCAGGUAACACGAAAUCGUACCCCAAACCGACACAGGUGGUCAGGUAGAGAAUACCAAGGCGCUUGAGAGAACUCGGGUGAAGGAACUAGGCAAAAUGGUGCCGUAACUUCGGGAGAAGGCACGCUGACACGUAGGUGAAGUGAUUUACUCAUGGAGCUGAAGUCAGUCGAAGAUACCAGCUGGCUGCAACUGUUUAUUAAAAACACAGCACUGUGCAAACACGAAAGUGGACGUAUACGGUGUGACGCCUGCCCGGUGCCGGAA
rnacentral:rRNA from 1 species